GUACUGAUGAAGAGUCCAGAACAAGGACGAUACAGCUGUCUAGUAC
rfam:Trichobilharzia regenti genome assembly, scaffold: TRE_scaffold0001896